rnacentral:rRNA from 1 species
ACUUAAGCAUAUCAAUAAGCGGAGGAAAAGAAACUAACAAGGAUUCCCCUAGUAACUGCGAGUGAAGAGGGAAAAGCUCAAAUUUGUAAUCUGGCGGCCUUUGGCCRUCCGAGUUGUAAUCUAGAGAAGUGCUACCUGCCCUGGACCAUGUACAAGUCUCCUGGAAUGGAGCAUCAUAGAGGGUGAGAAUCCCGUCUUUGACAUGGACUGCCAGAGCUUUAUGGGUGCGCUCUCAAAGAGUCGAGUUGUUUGGGAAUGCAGCUCAAAAUGGGUGGUAAAUGCCAUCUAAAGCUAAAUAUUGGCGAGAGACCGAUAGCGAACAAGUACCGUGAGGGAAAGAUGAAAAGAACUUUGGAAAGAGAGUUAAACAGUACGUGAAAUUGCUGAAAGGGAAACGCUUGAAGUCAGUCGCGUCGGUCGGAAAUCAACCUUGCUUUUGCUGGGCGUACUUUCCGUUCGAYGGGUCAGCAUCAAUUUUGGUCGCUGGAUAAAGUUCUUGGGAAUGUGGCAUCUUUUGAUGUGUUAUAGCCCUCGAACAUAUGCAGCGGUUGGGAUUGAGGAACUCAGCACGCCGCGAGGCUGGGGCUUGUCCCACAAUACGUGCUCAGGAUGCUGGCAUAAUGGCUUUAAUCGACCCGUCUUGAAACACGGACCAAGGAGUCUAACAUGCUUGCGAGUGUUUGAGUGGAAAACUCAUGCGCGUAAUGAAAGUGAUAGUUGAGAUCCCCGUCGUGGGGAGCAUCGAUGCCCAGACCAGACCUUUUGUGACGGAUCUGCGGUAGAGCAUGCAUGUUGGGACCCGAAAGAUGGUGAACUAUGCCUGAAUAGGGUGAAGCCAGAGGAAACUCUGGUGGAGGCUCGUAGCGAUUCUGACGUGCAAAUCGAUCGUCAAAUUUGGGUAUAGGGGCGAAAGACUAAUCGAACCAUCUAGUAGCUGGUUCCUGC